rnacentral:rRNA from 1 species
GACGAACGCUGGCGGCGUGCUUAACACAUGCAAGUCGAACGGGCCUUGUCCCCUUUUUUUUGGGGGUGGGGUUAGUGGCGAACGGGUGAGUAACCCGUGAGUAACCUGCCCCUCACUUCUGGAUAACCGCUUGAAAGGGUGGCUAAUACGGGGUGUUCUGGCCUGCUCGCAUGGGUGGGUUUGGAAAGAUUCGACCGGUUUUGGUUGUUUUGGUGGGGGAUGGGCUCGCGGCCUAUCAGCUUGUUGGUGGGGUGAUGGCCUGCCAAGGCUUUGACGGGUAGCCGGCCUGAGAGGGUGGGCGGUCACACUGGGACUGAGACACGGCCCAGACUCCUACGGGAGGCAGCAGUGGGGAAUAUUGCACAAUGGGCGCAAGCCUGAUGCAGCGACGCCGCGUGAGGGAUGGAGGCCUUCGGGUUGUGAACCUCUUUCGCCAGUGAAGAAGGUCCUGCUCUUUGUGGUGGGGUUGACGGUAGCUGGGUUAAUGAAGCGCCGGCUAACUACGUG